rnacentral:rRNA from 1 species
UAAGGGGGGUGCAAACGUUGCUCGGAAUUAUUGGGCGUAAAGCGCACGUAGGCGGUCUGGUAAGUCGGGUGUGAAAGCCCGGGGCUCAACCCCGGAAGUGCACACGAAACUGGCAGGCUUGAGUAUGGAAGAGGGUCUCGGAAUUCCCGGUGUAGAGGUGGAAUUCGUAGAUAUCGGGAGGAACACCAGUGGCGAAGGCGGAGACCUGGGCCAAUACUGACGCUGAGGUGCGAAAGCGUGGGGAGCAAACAGG